AUUGAACGCUGGCGGCAGGCCUAACACAUGCAAGUCGAGCGAGCGGCGGACGGGUGAGUAAUGUCUGGGAAACUGCCUGAUGGAGGGGGAUAACUACUGGAAACGGUAGCUAAUACCGCAUACCAUCAGAUGUGCCCAGAUGGGAGUAGCUAGUAGGUGGGGUAACGGCUCACCUAGGCGACGAUCCCUAGCUGGUCUGAGAGGAUGACCAGAACAACUGGAACGGAGACACGGUCCAGACUCCUACGGGAGGCAGCAGGGGGGAAUAUUGCACAAUGGGCGCAAGCCUGAUGCAGCCAUGCCGCGUGUAUGAAGAAGGCCUUCGGGUUGUAAAGUACUUUCAGCGGGGAGGCGUUACCCGCAGAAGAAGCACCGGCUAACUCCGGGCCAGCCGCCGCGGUAAUUC
rnacentral:rRNA from 1 species